AGAAGACUUAUCUUGUGUGAUUAAUAUAUAUCGCAACAAAGAUUAGUCACUACAAAAUAAUAAAUAUUUUGUAUCUAUAACAUGAUUAUCAUCAAUGGUGGAGUUAGUUAUGGUGGUGUUGUGUGGGAUGAUGAAGGUAAAAUGGGUGUGGACGGAUGACAGUCAAUUAUAUGAUAUAUUUAGUACUAUUUUAGAGUAGUUUUAGUAGCAAUUGAGGACCAAAUACAAGCAAAUACUUAAAGUUACGAAGUUACUUAUCCAAGAAUCAAGAAAAGUGGAAAAUGCAUAAAAAAAAAGGCAAAAAAGAAGGGAAUUGAAGAACCCAU
rnacentral:lncRNA from 1 species